rnacentral:rRNA from 1 species
GACGUAGGGGGCGAGCGUUGUCCGGAUUUAUUGGGCGUAAAGAGCUCGUAGGCGGCUCGUUGCGUCGGCUGUGAAAACCCGCAGCUCAACUGUGGGCCUGCAGCUGAUACGGGCGGGCUGGAGUUCGGUAGGGGAGACUGGAAUUCCUGGUGUAGCGGUGAAAUGCGCAGAUAUCAGGAGGAACACCGGUGGCGAAGGCGGGUCUCUGGACAGUUCCUGACGCUGAGGCGCGAAAGCUAGGGGAGCAAACGGG